UAAAAAACGAAAGUAGUUGUUGUUGUUUU
rnacentral:piRNA from 1 species